rnacentral:lncRNA from 1 species
CUCUGAGUGGGCGGAGACAGCGGUUGCAUGUGCAUUCUUCCUUGUAAGGCCACAGGUCCCUCUGGAUAUGCUGCCACCUGGCCACGUCUCCUUCCCAUCUUUCUCACUGACCAAUUGGCUUGGAGCGUCAAGGCUACGCCCCUAUUCUGUGUUCUAUUGGUGCCCUGGUUACACCUCUCUGGCUCAGUCACACAGCUGCCCGGUAGGUGACUGGAGGCAUUCAGCAGUGCUCACUGGGCUUUCACUGUUGUGGCCGCAACCCCGCCUCCCUACCCACCCUGUGAUGUCGGAAACAACACGACAGGGCAAAUUGACUGUAGCCAAGAAAAAGUUAAAAGAAUAUUGGCAGAGGAAGAGCCCUGGUGUUCCAGCAGGAGCCAACAGGAAAAAGAAAAUCAAUGGCAGUAGCCCUGACACAGCAGCUUCUGGUGGUUACCGCUCACCUGGGGAUGUGAGUCUUGGCUGACCAGGCUCCUGGGGACAGGGGACCCAAGGGGCAGUAGAGGGUAAUUGUUAAGAUUGUGGAUGGACUGUUGGGUACUGGUUAAGAAUUCUGGGUUUGAGGCCGGGCGCGGUGGCUCAAGUCUGUAAUCCCAGCACUUUGGGAGGCCGAGACGGGCGGAUCACGAGGUCAGGAGAUCGAGACCAUCCUGGCUAACACAGUGAAACCCCGUCUCUACUAAAAAUACAAAAACUAGCCAGGCGAGGUGGCGGGCGCCUGUAGUCCCAGCUACUCGGGAGGCUGAGGUGGGAGAAUGGCGCAAACCCGGGAGGCGGAGCUUGCAGUGAGCUGAGAUCCGGCCACUGCACUCCAGUCCGGGCGACAGAGCGAGACUCCGCCU